GCAUCAAUGGUGUAAGGGUAGCACGGGUGCCUUCCAAGCACCCAAUCCGCGUUCGAGUCGCGGUUGAUGCA
rnacentral:tRNA from 17 species